UACUUUUUGUACGAAAAUACGAAAAUACGAAAAUAGUCGCCCGAUGAUUGUGGACAUUUUACUACGUCUAGGUAAAUCUAAUAAAAGUAUUAUUAUCAAGUUUAAAGUCUCUAUAUAUAUUUAUAACCGAAUAACAGCAAAAAACUACCAAAAAUUAAAAUUCCUUCAAUGCUCAAAAGUGGCACAAAAGUUUUGAUGAUGAUACCGUAAGAAAGUGAAUCAAAAAGGCAAUAAAAAAGGUAUCUUGAUUUUUCAGUCAUUCAUUUUUUCUGGUAGAAAAUGUCAUCCAUGUUUUUAUAAAAUUAUGAAAUCAUUGAACAAUUAUGGCAAGAACUGAAAAUUAGAAUAGGAACAGAAAACAGCUCAUAAAGUUGUUUUGUCGAAAAAAGUUCAAGAUGAGUGGAAAAACAUCUCACAAGAUCGAAUCAUUAAACUUUUUGAAUCGAUGCCUCACCGAUGUGCCGCCGUGAUAACUUCGAAGGGUAUGGCUACUAAAUAUGAAAGAAAAUUGUAUGUUUAUUACUAUUUUUGAAGUUUAUUCUCAAGUUAUUGUAAUCUUUUUUCAUGUUCAAUGAAUAAUUUACAUUUGGCCGGACACUUAUGAAAAAGCGAAAGUUGUUAUAUUUGUUAGAAUUAAUUGUUAAUUGUUUG